AGCUCCAAUAGCGUAUAUUAAAGUUGUUGCGGUUAAAAAGCUCGUAGUUGGGUUUCUGCUGAGGGUGGCGGGUCCGGUCCAUGAUCGGUAUCUUGUUCACUCUUGGCAUCCUCUUGAGGAACUUUCUGCGCUUCAUUGCGUGGUUAGGUUUUCAAGACUUUUACUUUGAGGAAAUUAGAGUGUUCACUGCAGGCGUUCGCAACUGAAUACAUUAGCAUGGAAUAAUAACAUAGGACCUUGGUGCUAUUUUGUUGGUUUCUAGCGCUGAGGUAAUGAUUAAUAGGGACAAUUGGGGGCAUUCGUAUUAACGCGUCAGAGGUGGAAUUCUUAGAUUGCGUUACGACGAACUACUGCGAAAGCAUUUGCCAAGGAUGUUUUCA
rnacentral:rRNA from 1 species